rnacentral:rRNA from 1 species
UACGGAGGGUGCAAGCGUUAUCCGGAUUCACUGGGUUUAAAGGUGCGUAGGUGGAAUGGUAAGUCAGUGGUGAAAUCUCCAAGCUUAACUUGGAAACUGCCGUUGAUACUAUCAUUCUUGAAUAUCGUGGAGGUAAGCGGAAUAUGUCAUGUAGCGGUGAAAUGCUUAGAUAUGACAUAGAACACCGAUUGCGAAGGCAGCUUGCUACACGAUCAUUGACACUGAGGCACGAAAGCGUGGGGAUCAAACAGG